GACGAACGCUGGCGGCGUGCUUAACACAUGCAAGUCGAACGGAAAGGCCCUGCUUGCAGGGUACUCGAGUGGCGAACGGGUGAGUAACACGUGGGUGAUCUGCCCUGCACUUCGGGAUAAGCCUGGGAAACUGGGUCUAAUACCGGAUAGGAGCCAUUUUUAGUGUGAUGGUUGGAAAGUUUUUUCGGUGUAGGAUGAGCUCGCGGCCUAUCAGCUUGUUGGUGGGGUAAUGGCCUACCAAGGCGGCGACGGGUAGCCGGCCUGAGAGGGUGGACGGCCACAUUGGGACUGAGAUACGGCCCAGACUCCGACGGGAGGCAGCAGUGGGGAAGAUUGCACAAUGGGCGCAAGCCUGAUGCAGCGACGCCGCGUGGGGGAUGACGGCCUUCGGGUUGUAAAAUCCUUUCGCUAGGGACGAAGCUUUUUGUGACGGUACCUAGAUAAGAAGCACCGGCUAACUACGUG
rnacentral:rRNA from 1 species